rnacentral:rRNA from 1 species
GAUGAACGCUGACAGAAUGCUUAACACAUGCAAGUCAUUGGCGAAGCUGCGCUUGCGCAGUCUAGCCAAGGCGGACGGGUGAGUAACGCGUAAGGAACUUGCCCUGCAGACAGGGAUAACAGACGGAAACGACUGAUAACACCUGGUAUUGUCAGGCUGGCGCAUGCCGGCCUGAUGAAAGGAGACGCUGCAGGAGAGCCUUGCGUCCUAUUAGCUAGUUGGUGGGGUAACGGCCCACCAAGGCGAUGAUAGGUAGCCGGCCUGAGGGGGUGAACGGCCACAAGGGGACUGAGAUACGGCCCUUACUCCUACGGGAGGCAGCAGUGGGGAAUAUUGGACAAUGGGGGCAACCCUGAUCCAGCAAUUCUGUGUGCACGAAGAAGGUUUUCGGAUUGUAAAGUGCUUUCAGCAGGGAAGAAGAAAGUGACGGUACCUGCAGAAGAAGCGACGGCUAAAUACGUG